rnacentral:rRNA from 1 species
AAGUCGUAACAAGGUUUCCGUAGGUGAACCUGCGGAAGGAUCAUUAUUGAAAUAAACCUGAUGGGUUGUUGCUGGUUCUCUAGGGAGCAUGUGCACGCCUUGUCAUCUUUAUAUCUCCACCUGUGCACUUUUUGUAGACCUUUCAGGUCUAUGUUGUUUCAUUUACCCCCAAUGUAUGUUAAUAGAAUGUUGUGCCUAUAACAAUAUAUACAACUUUCAGCAACGGAUCUCUUGGCUCUCGCAUCGAUGAAGAACGCAGCGAAAUGCGAUAAGUAAUGUGAAUUGCAGAAUUCAGUGAAUCAUCGAAUCUUUGAACGCACCUUGCGCUCCUUGGUAUUCCGAGGAGCAUGCCUGUUUGAGUGUCAUUAAUAUAUAUAUCAAACUUCUCUUGUUGAGUGGUUUGGAUGUGGGGGUUUGCUGGCCUCUUAAAUGGGGUUCAGCUCUCCUGAAAUGCAUUAGCAGAACAAACCCUGUGUUCAUUGGUGUGAUAACUAUCUACGCUAUUGAAUGUAAGGGGCAGUUCAGCUUUCUAACAG